CCGUGUGCUUACAAGUAGUCAGAGCCCGUUAAUGGGUGAUGGCGUGCCUUUUGUAGAAUGAACCGGCGAGUUACGAUUUGAUGCAAGGUUAAGCAGUAAAUGUGGAGCCGUAGCGAAAGCGAGUCUGAAUAGGGCGUUUAGUAUUUGGUCGUAGACCCGAAACCAGGUGAUCUACCCUUGGUCAGGUUGAAGUUCAGGUAACACUGAAUGGAGGACCGAACCGACUUACGUUGAAAAGUGAGCGGAUGAACUGAGGGUAGCGGAGAAAUUCCAAUCGAACCUGGAGAUAGCUGGUUCUCUCCGAAAUAGCUUUAGGGCUAGCCUCAAGUGAUGAUUAUUGGAGGUAGAGCACUGUUUGGACGAGGGGCCCCUCUCGGGUUACCGAAUUCAGACAAACUCCGAAUGCCAAUUAAUUUAACUUGGGAGUCAGAACAUGGGUGAUAAGGUCCGUGUUCGAAAGGGAAACAGCCCAGACCACCAGCUAAGGUCCCAAAAUAUAUGUUAAGUGGAAAAGGAUGUGGCGUUGCCCAGACAACUAGGAUGUUGGCUUAGAAGCAGCCAUCAUUUAAAGAGUGCGUAAUAGCUCACUAGUCGAGUGACACUGCGCCGAAAAUGUACCGGGGCUAAACAUAUUACCGAAGCUGUGGAUUGUCCUUUGGACAAUGGUAGGAGAGCGUUCUAAGGGCGUUGAAGCAUGAUCGUAAGGACAUGUGGAGCGCUUAGAAGUGAGAAUGCCGGUGUGAGUAGCGAAAGACGGGUGAGAAUCCCGUCCACCGAUUGACUAAGGUUUCCAGAGGAAGGCUCGUCCGCUCUGGGUUAGUCGGGUCCUAAGCUGAGGCCGACAGGCGUAGGCGAUGGAUAACAGGUUGAUAUUCCUGUACCACCUAUAAUCGUUUUAAUCGAUGGGGGGACGCAGUAGGAUAGGCGAAGCGUGCGAUUGGAUUGCACGUCUAAGCAGUAAGGCUGAGUAUUAGGCAAAUCCGGUACUCGUUAAGGCUGAGCUGUGAUGGGGAGAAGACAUUGUGUCUUCGAGUCGUUGAUUUCACACUGCCGAGAAAAGCCUCUAGAUAGAAAAUAGGUGCCCGUACCGCAAACCGACACAGGUAGUCAAGAUGAGAAUUCUAAGGUGAGCGAGCGAACUCUCGUUAAGGAACUCGGCAAAAUGACCCCGUAACUUCGGGAGAAGGGGUGCUCUUUAGGGUUAACGCCCAGAAGAGCCGCAGUGAAUAGGCCCAAGCGACUGUUUAUCAAAAACACAGGUCUCUGCUAAACCGUAAGGUGAUGUAUAGGGGCUGACGCCUGCCCGGUGCUGGAAGGUUAAGAGGAGUGGUUAGCUUCUGCGAAGCUACGAAUCGAAGCCCCAGUAAACGGCGGCCGUAACUAUAACGGUCCUAAGGUAGCGAAAUUCCUUGUCGGGUAAGUUCCGACCCGCACGAAAGGCGUAACGAUUUGGGCACUGUCUCAACGAGAGACUCGGUGAAAUCAUAGUACCUGUGAAGAUGCAGGUUACCCGCGACAGGACGGAAAGACCCCGUGGAGCUUUACUGUAGCCUGAUAUUGAAAUUCGGCACAGCUUGUACAGGAUAGGUAGGAGCCUUUGAAACGUGAGCGCUAGCUUACGUGGAGGCGCUGGUGGGAUACUACCCUAGCUGUGUUGGCUUUCUAACCCGCACCACUUAUCGUGGUGGGAGACAGUGUCAGGCGGGCAGUUUGACUGGGGCGGUCGCCUCCUAAAAGGUAACGGAGGCGCUCAAAGGUUCCCUCAGAAUGGUUGGAAAUCAUUCAUAGAGUGUAAAGGCAUAAGGGAGCUUGACUGCGAGACCUACAAGUCGAGCAGGGUCGAAAGACGGACUUAGUGAUCCGGUGGUUCCGCAUGGAAGGGCCAUCGCUCAACGGAUAAAAGCUACCCCGGGGAUAACAGGCUUAUCUCCCCCAAGAGUUCACAUCGACGGGGAGGUUUGGCACCUCGAUGUCGGCUCAUCGCAUCCUGGGGCUGUAGUCGGUCCCAAGGGUUGGGCUGUUCGCCCAUUAAAGCGGUACGCGAGCUGGGUUCAGAACGUCGUGAGACAGUUCGGUCCCUAUCCGUCGUGGGCGUAGGAAAUUUGAGAGGAGCUGUCCUUAGUACGAGAGGACCGGGAUGGACAUACCUCUGGUGUACCAGUUGUCGUGCCAACGGCAUAGCUGGGUAGCUAUGUGUGGACGGGAUAAGUGCUGAAAGCAUCUAAGCAUGAAGCCCCCCUCAAGAUGAGAUUUCCCAACUUCGGUUAUAAGAUCCCUCAAAGAUGAUGAGGUUAAUAGGUUCGAGGUGGAAGCAUGGUGACAUGUGGAGCUGACGAAUACUAAUCGAUCGAAGACUUAAUCAA
rnacentral:rRNA from 2 species